rnacentral:rRNA from 1 species
UAGGGAAUCUUCCGCAAUGGACGCAAGUCUGACGGAGCAACGCCGCGUGAGUGAAGAAGGAUUUCGGUUCGUAAAACUCUGUUGUUAGAGAAGAACAGCGCAUAGAGUAACUGUUAUGCGUGUGACGGUAUCUAACCAGAAAGCCACGGCUAACUACGUGCCAGCAGCCGCGGUAAUACGUAGGUGGCAAGCGUUGUCCGGAUUUAUUGGGCGUAAAGCGAGCGCAGGCGGUUAGAUAAGUCUGAAGUUAAAGGCAGUGGCUCAACCGGGGAGGGUCAUUGGAAACUGGUUGACUUGAGUGCAGAAGAGGAGAGUGGAAUUCCAUGUGUAGCGGUGAAAUGCGUAGAUAUAUGGAGGAACACCAGUGGCGAAGGCGACUCUCUGGCCUGUAACUGACGCUGAGGCUCGAAAGCGUGGGUAGCAAACAGG